UGCGGCAAAUUUGCCGAAUUUGC
rnacentral:miRNA from 1 species